GACGAACGCUGGCGGCGUGCUUAACACAUGCAAGUCGAACGGAAAGGCCCUGCUUUUGUGGGGUGCUCGAGUGGCGAACGGGUGAGUAACACGUGAGUAACCUGCCCUUGACUUUGGGAUAACUUCAGGAAACUGGGGCUAAUACCGGAUAGGAGCUCCUGCUGCAUGGUGGGGGUUGGAAAGUUUCGGCGGUUGGGGAUGGACUCGCGGCUUAUCAGCUUGUUGGUGGGGUAGUGGCUUACCAAGGCUUUGACGGGUAGCCGGCCUGAGAGGGUGACCGACCACAUUGGGACUGAGAUACGGCCCAGACUCCUACGGGAGGCAGCAGUGGGGAAUAUUGCACAAUGGGCGGAAGCCUGAUGCAGCAACGCCGCGUGCGGGAUGACGGCCUUCGGGUUGUAAACCGCUUUCGCCUGUGACGAAGCGUGAGUGACGGUAAUGGGUAAAGAAGCACCGGCUAACUACGUG
rnacentral:rRNA from 1 species